rnacentral:rRNA from 1 species
AAUAGAUACCCCGGUAGUCCACGCCGUAAACGAUGUCGAUUUGGAGGUUGUGCCCUUGAGGCGUGGCUUCCGGAGCUAACGCGUUAAAUCGACCGCCUGGGGAGUACGGCCGCAAGGUUAAAACUCAAAUGAAUUGACGGGGGCCCGCACAAGCGGUGGAGCAUGUGGUUUAAUUCGAUGCAACGCGAAGAACCUUACCUGGUCUUGACAUCCACAGAACUUAGCAGAGAUGCUUUGGUGCCUUCGGGAACUGUGAGACAGGUGCUGCAUGGCUGUCGUCAGCUCGUGUUGUGAAAUGUUGGGUUAAGUCCCGCAACGAGCGCAACCCUUAUCCUUUGUUGCCAGCGGUUCGGCCGGGAACUCAAAGGAGACUGCCAGUGAUAAACUGGAGGAAGGUGGGGAUGACGUCAAGUCAUCAUGGCCCUUACGACCAGGGCUACACACGUGCUACAAUGGCAUAUACAAAGAGAAGCGACCUCGCGAGAGCAAGCGGACCUCAUAAAGUAUGUCGUAGUCCGGAUUGGAGU